GACGCUGUGGAGGCUGUAGAUAUGUAGAUGCUGCCGAGGCUGUAGAUGUUGAAGAGGUUGAAGAUACGGAAGAGGAGACAGACAUCAUCAGAGGUCGAGGAUGACACAAAUGAAGAAUAAACCCGGACGUUCCUACGAUAGGAGCUGGUUGAGCGACGACUAUGUGGGACAACGUCGUCUCUGCAUCCUUCCAGAUGACGCGAAGAACGUGACUGCAUCAUCAGAUUCAAGACUGCCAAGCUCCUUUUUAAAAGUAAACUCACAAGAAAGUCGGUGUCUACGAAAGAGUUGCCUGUAUCCUCUACAGUUAUCAUUGAGACCGAAGAGGGUGAUUUUCUGUAUACUGAGGUUGAGGUCCUCUGAGCUUUUUUUAUGACUUAGAGGAUUGCUAACGUGGACUUGCUGCCAAGGGGUCAUCGAAAACCUCUAGCGCAAGAUCUUUGACCUCGACCGAAGGCUCACAAGGGACCAGGAUCGCUGUCGAAGACUUGGCGAGGAAAGUUUCCAUCUACAAGAAGGUCGGACACACAUUCUGCGAUGACCUACGAAAAAGAUAGUGUCGGCAGUCUUAAGUUUUAAAAAGAAUUUAUGUGUUUUUCUGAAUUGAGGCAGACCAGUUUUCGAUUUUUGAAUUUUUUUCCUUUUCAAUUUGACUACGAAUAUUGAUUUUGGAAUUGAAUCUAUUCGCUAAAGUUACCUGACUAUAUUUAAAUAAAUUAUAUUGAUUAAAAAGAUAUUAAUAAAACAAAAUGUAAAUAAGUAAUUUUUUAAAUUUUGAAAAAUCUUAUCAAUUGAAAUUCAAAUCUCCAUUGAAAACUAGGAUUAGAUACCCUAUUACUAGAAUAACUCUUAUUAGAGUAGUAAAAAAAUCUUCUAACUUAAAAAGUUUGGCGGUAGUUUAAAGUAACUAGAGGGAUCUACUCUAUAAUGUAAGUGUUGUUGAAUUCUGGUGCUUAAUUCUUUUUUUACUUCUUUAUUUUUGUAUUUAUUGCGGUUCUUAACUAAUUUUAUCAAUUUUUAUAUUUACAACACUCCACAAAUUAGAUUAUUUUAAUUAUCUCUUUAUUAUUCUUGUUUUUUCUGCUCAUUAAUGUUUUGGAUUGGUUCCGUAUGUUUUAUCUUGUCCUAUGUCUUUGUAAAUUAGCAAUCGCCGUCGAUUUGCCUGUAGUGAAUAAAUAGAAAAUCAUAAAAUUCAGAAAUAAAGGAACAAGUACUCUGCUUUUCGUGUGAAUAGACACUUUAUCCAUGCAGGAUGAGGGAAUUUUUUCAAAAUUAAC
rnacentral:lncRNA from 1 species